AAACUUACCUGGCUGGGAGGCUUCUCGCGAUCAUGAAGGCGGGACCUCCAUGGUGAGGCUUGGCCAUUGCACUUUCGGCUAGGCUGACCUGUGUGGCAUUCCCGAGUUGGGAUUGGCCAACAGCAUAAUUUUUGCGUUUGGGGGAGCGUUCGCGCUUCCCUGC
rfam:Enterobius vermicularis genome assembly, scaffold: EVEC_scaffold0001590